rnacentral:rRNA from 1 species
CCUACGGGAGGCAGCAGUAGGGAAUCUUCCACAAUGGGCGCAAGCCUGAUGGAGCAACGCCGCGUGAGUGAAGACGGCCUUCGGGUUGUAAAGCUCUGUCUGUCGGGACGAAGACCGGCCCGGAAGGGCCGGGGAGCCGGUACCGACCGAGGAAGCCCCUGCAAACUGCGUGCCAGCAGCCGCGGUAAGACGUAGGGGGCAAGCGUUGUCCGGAAUUACUGGGCGUAAGGGCGUGUAGGCGGUGCGAUACGUAGCGGUUUUAAGCCUCCGGCUCACCCGGAGGAGGGCGGCUAAACGGUCGCGCUAGAGGGCAGGAGAGGUGCGUGGAAUUCCUGGUGGAGCGGUGGAAUGCGUAGAGAUCAGGAAGAACACCCGUGGCGAAGGCGGCGCACUGGCCUGGCCCUGACGCUGAGGCGCGACAGCGUGGGGAGCGAACGGGAUUAGAUACCCCGGUAGUCCACGCCGUAAACGAUGGGUACUAGGUGUCGCCCGGGUCCACCGGGCGGUGCCGGAGCUAACGCACUAAGUACCCCGCCUGGGGAGUACGGCCGCAAGGUUGAAACUCAAAGGAAUUGACGGGG